rnacentral:rRNA from 1 species
UACGUAGGGUGCGAGCGUUUAAUCGGAAUUACUGGGCGUAAAGCGUGCGCAGGCGGUUUUGUAAGUCUGACGUGAAAUCCCCGGGCUUAACCUGGGAAUUGCGUUGGAGACUGCAAGGCUGGAGUCUGGCAGAGGGGGGUAGAAUUCCACGUGUAGCAGUGAAAUGCGUAGAGAUGUGGAGGAACACCGGAUGGCGCAAGGCAGCCCCCCUGGGUCAAGACUGACGCUCAUGCACGAAAGCGUGGGGAGCGAACAGG